CAAAAAUGAAUUGCGUUUAAUUCUGUGAAAAUCUCCAAGCGAAAAGAAAAACAUAUUCACAACAUCAAGAGAGUUGAUAUCAACAAAUCCUUUACAGCUAGUGGAUGUGCCGGAGAUGCAGUAUUUCGCCAGUCAAAACAAUGGGGAGGUGUGCGUGCGCGGUUCUAACGUAUUCCACGGGGCACUAAAAAAGGCACUUGAAUGAUAAUUUCUUUCUCUGCCUUUGCGUCGCAGUUAUUACAAAGAUCCCGGAAAACUGCUGAGGCUGUUGACUCUGAAGGCUGGCACCACACGGGCGAUGUGGGCACGUGGCUUCCAAAUGGCACGCUGCGCAUAAUCGAUCGUCGCAAACACAUUUUCAAGCUAAGCCAGGGCGAAUAUAUUGUACCGGAGAAGAUUGAGAAUAUUUACAUUCUGAGCCAAUAUGUAAAUCAGGUGUACGUUUACGGAUAGAGCCUUAAGAGCUGCAUCAUAGCCGUCGUCGUGCCUGAUGUGGAUGUUCUCAAGCAGUGGGCGAACGACAAUCGCGUCAAGGGCACACUUUCGGUGCUAUGUAAUAAUCCAUAAGUAAAAGAACUCAUCAGGAGCGAUAUGCUGAAUUGGGGUAAGCAGAGCGGACUGAAAUCCUUCGAACAGGUCAAGGAUAUAUAUUUGCAUCCCGAUCCGUUUUCGGUACAAAAUGGACUACUCACACCAACAUUCAAAGCGAAGCGGCCACAAUUGAACAAAACAGUGCGAGAAACCCCGUAGAGGAGUUAGAAGUAAAAUGCGAACAAUUUUAAACUUUAUGCGAAAAUAGAAAAAACAUGCAAUUGCUAUUUAUUUAAUUAGGCAUCAAUUUAAAUUUCUGUAAAAUAGAUAUUUUAAAUACCGGCAUAAAAGCAAACUAUUACCAUAUUAGCCAAAACUAUUCUUCAGGUACUAAAUAAAAUUUUAU